AAUGAACGUUGGCGGCAUGGAUUAGGCAUGCAAGUCGAGCGAGAAGUCUUAGUUUGACGCUUCGGUUGAUUUCUAAGAUGGACAGCGGCGAAAGGGUGAGUAACGCGUAGUUACCUGCCUCAGGGUCUGGAAUAGCCUCGGGAAACUGAGGGUAAUGCCAGAUAAUAUCUCCGGAUCAAAGGUGAGAUUCCGCCCUGAGAGGGGACUGCGUCCUACUAGCUUGUGGUGGGUAAAGGCCUACCAAGGCUCAGAUGGGUAGCGGGCGUGAGAGCGUGGCCCGUACACUGGGACUGAGCACUGCCCAGCACUACGGGUGCUGCAGUCGAGAAUCUUC
rnacentral:rRNA from 1 species